rnacentral:rRNA from 1 species
AGGGUUCGAUUAUGGCUCAGGAUGAACGCUAGCUACAGGCUUAACACAUGCAAGUCGAGGGGAAACGACAUCGAAAGCUUGCUUUUGAUGGGCGUCGACCGGCGCACGGGUGAGUAACGCGUAUCCAACCUGCCCACCACUUGGGGAUAACCUUGCGAAAGUAAGACUAAUACCCAAUGAUAUCUCUAGAAGACAUCUGAAAGAGAUUAAAGAUUUAUCGGUGAUGGAUGGGGAUGCGUCUGAUUAGCUUGUUGGCGGGGUAACGGCCCACCAAGGCAACGAUCAGUAGGGGUUCUGAGAGGAAGGUCCCCCACAUUGGAACUGAGACACGGUCCAA